CGGAUCGGAGUCUGCAACCCGACUCCGUGAAGCUGGAUUCGCUAGUAAUCGCGCAUCAGCCAUGGCGCGGUGAAUACGUUCCCGGGCCUUGUACACACCGCCCGUCAAGCCAUGGGAGCCGGGGGUACCUGAAGUCCGGGACCGCGAGGACCGGCCUAAGGCGAAACUGGUGACUGGGGCUAAGUCGUAACAAGGUAAC
rnacentral:rRNA from 1 species